rnacentral:misc_RNA from 1 species
AACGCACCUUGCGCUCCUUGGUAUUCCGAGGAGCAUGCCUGUUUGAGUGUCAUUAAAUUCUCAACCUUUCUGGCUUUUAUUAGCUGGUCAGGCUUGGAUGUGGGGGUUGCGGGCUUCUCAGAAGUCAGCUCUCCUUAAAUGCAUUAGCAAAACCUUUGUUGACCAUCUCUGGUGUGAUAAUUAUCUAUGCCAUUGGGAAGCAGCUUUUAUAUGGGGUUUAGCUUCUAACUGUCUUAUCAUUGGACAACUCUUGACAUUUUGACCUCAAAUCAGGUAGGACUACCCGCUGAACUUAA